rnacentral:rRNA from 1 species
UGCUUUUUGAAUAUCUAAAAAGUAUUACCUGCCCAAUGAUUUAUUUAAUGGCCGCAGUAUAUUGACUGUGCAAAGGUAGCAUAAUCAUUUGCUUUAUAAAUUAAAGCUUGUAUGAAUGGUCUAAUGUAAAUAUAACUGUCUUUUAUUUAUAAAUAAAACUUGCUUUUUCAGUGAAGAAGCUGAAACAGUUUAAAAAGACGAGAAGACCCUAAUGAGUUUUUCAUUUAUUGAAUAUAAUUAUAUUAAUAGAUGUUUAAUUGGGGCGAUUAAAGAAUAAAUCUUCUUUUUAAAAAAUGUAAUAAUAAUUAAUGAACCAUUAUUAAUGAAUAAAAAUUAAAUUACCAUAGGGAUAACAGCAUAAUUUUUUUUAAGAGUACAUAUUGACAAAAAAGAUUGUGACCUCGAUGUUGGUUUAAGAAAAUUUUAUAAUGUAGAAGUUAUAAAAAUAAGUCUGUUCGACUUUUAAAAUCUUACA